rnacentral:rRNA from 1 species
CCUACGGGCGGCAGCAGUCGAGAAUCAUUCACAAUGGGGGAAACCCUGAUGGUGCGACGCCGCGUGGGGGAAUGAAGGUCUUCGGAUUGUAAACCCCUGUCAUGUGGGAGCAAAUGACAAAGAUAGUACCACAAGAGGAAGAGACGGCUAACCCUGUGCCCGCAGCCGCGGUAAUACAGAGGUCUCAAGCGUUGUUCGGAAUCACUGGGCGUAAGGGGUGCGUAGGCGGGUUCGUAAGUCGUGUGUGAAAGGCGCGGGCUCAACCCGCGGACUGCACAUGAUACUGCGUGACUAGAGUGAUGGAGGGGGAACCGGAAUUCUCGGUGUAGCAGUGAAAUGCGUAGAUAUCGAGAGGAACACUCGUGGCGAAGGCGGGUUCCUGGACAUUAACUGACGCUGAGGCACGAAGGCCAGGGGAGCGAAAGGGAUUAGAUACCCUUGUAGUC